GAAAGGACCCUCUGCUCUCCGUACCACCCUCAAACUUAUGGGCUGGUUGAGAAGAUGAAUGGGACAAUUCAGAGAGACUUGAGUAAAGUGACUGGAAGUCAUCCAGAAGCAUGGGAUGACUUUCUGGAUCCGGUAAUGUUUGGUCUGCGAACCAAAAAAGCUGAUGGCAAUGAAGUACUUCCCUUACUAUCUCAUGUUUGGGAGAGAGGCUCGAUAUCCCACUGAAAUUCCCCAGGAGGUUGAGAUGUUCAGAAUGCAUUGGGAGGAAAUGUUUCACAUGUUCUCCUUUCCAAAAUAGGGCCCUACAAAUUAUAUUUUUGGGACAUUUCUCAACUUGGUCCAAACAUGGAGCUGGAAA